GAGGACUGUGAAGCAAUCGGGGCGAGGCCGGGUGUCUGUUCAACUCUCCCGCGUAUCGUCUGUUUCUUCGGCGGCGGACAGUGUUCUGUAAUGUGUCUCCCGUUGCCCGAGCUAAAGGCAGUCUCCACACCACUGUGCUCGAACAGCUCUAUGAAGAGGCCUAUGUGGAGAGGAGAAAAAGCCUCCACCAACAGCCAGCACCAACUUGCCAGCCAUAUGGCGUCUUGCUCUGUCACCCAGGCUGGGGUGCAGUGGUGUGAUCUCAGCUCACUGCAACCUCUGCCUCCUGGGUUCAAGCAAUUCUUCUGCCUCAGCCUCCCAAAGAGCUGUGAUUACAGACGUGUGCCACAAUACCCGGCUAAGUUUUGUAUUUUUAUUAUUAUUUUAUUUAUGUGUUUAUUUAUUUAUUUAUUUAUUUAUUUUGAGAUGGAGUCUUGCUGUGUCGCCCAGGGUGGAGUGCAGUGGUGCGAUCUCUGCUCGCUGCAGCCUCUGCCCCCCAGGCGAUUCUCCUGCCUCAGCCUCCCGAGUAGCUGGGAUUACAGGUGCCCGCCACCAUACCCGGCUAAUUUUUGUAUUUUUAGUAAAGACAGGGUUUUGCCAUGUUGGCCAGGCUGAUCUCGAACUCCUGACCUCAAGUGAUCUGUCUGCCUUGGCCUCCCAAGGCAGGGAGCCUGCUGGGAUUACAGGCAUGAGCCACCACGCCCAGUCAAAAUGUUUUAAAUGUUUCUAUACCACCAUCUGUGUCAAAGAGCAAAUGGUCUCUCUGCAGCUGGAACAACAAAAACUCAAAUGGUCCACACAGUGGUUCAUACCUAUAAGUCACCAAACCUAAACUAAGUUGUUAUCUGACCUUCUGGAAAUGAGAAGAGAUAGAUAACUGCCAGUUUCCCAAACAGGCCAGUUUAAAUCUUCCUGUAAGCAUGAUAAGGAAGUUCCCUCUGAUUUAAUCCUUACACACGAAAAAGUAGCCUUAAAUAACCUGAUAUUAACUCAUCAGUUUUAUUUUUAUUUAUUUAUUUUUUUUUGAGACAAUGUCUUGCUCUGUCACCCAGGCUGGAGUGCAGUGGCACAAUCUCGGCUCACUGCAAUCUCCGCCUCCCGGGUUCACGCCAUUCUCCUGCCUCAGCCUCCCGAGUAGCUGGGACUACAGGUGCCUGCCACCACACCCGGCUAAUUUUUGUAUUCUUAGUAGAGAUGGGGUUUCACCGUGUUAGCCAGGAUGGUCUCGAUCUCCUGACCUUGUGAUCCACCCCCCUCGGCCUCCCAAAGUGCUGGGAUUACAGGUGUGAGCCACCGCGCCUGGCCACUCAUCAGUUAUUUUUCUAUCAUUUUGUCUUUCUGUCCCCACUUUACAAGAAAAGUGACUUUGAAAGGACUAAUAACAUUAUUCGUUUUUUGCUUCUGCUUUCUUCAGCCCUUCUCUGUCUGUAAAGCCAGCUUCUUUUGCACAGCUCACUGCAACACUUAUUUUUAUUUGUAUUUUUAUUUUUUGAGACAAUGUCUCACUCUGUCACCCGGGCUGGAGAGUGGAGAGUACUAAUGCAGUCUUGGCCCACUGCACCUUCACCCUCCUCAACUCAAGCAAUCUUCCUGCCUCAACUUCCCUGGCAGCCAGGACUACAGGCUUGCACCACUAUACCCAGCUAAUUUUUAAAAUUUUUUUUUUUGUAGAGACAGGGUCUUGCUAUGUGGGCCAGACUGGUCUCAAACUCCUGGCCUCAAGGGAUCCUUCUUCCUUGGCCUGCCAAAGUGCUGGGAUAGAAUAAGUGUGCCGGGGCCACCAUGCCCAGGCCACCACACCUGGCCCACUUAUUCUAUUUUAUGGAAUGAAGUGUUACCCAAUUCUGGCUUUUUUUGAGACAGGGUCGUGCACCGUUGCUCAGGCGGGAAUGCAGUGGCACGAUCUUGGAACACUCCAACCUCCACCUCCAAGGCUCAAGCCAUCUUCCCACCUCAGCCUCCCGAGUAGCUGGGGCCACAGGCGUGUGCCACCACAUCCAGCUAAUUUUUGUAUUUUUUGUAGAGAUGGGGUUUUGCCAUGUUGCCCAGGCUGGUUUGGUCUCAAACUCCUGGUCUCAAGCCAUCCACCCACCUUGGUCUCCCAAAGUGCUGGGAUUACAGAUGUGAACCAACAUGUCCAGCCUUUUUUUUUUUUUGAGACAAAUUCUGGCUCUGUCACCCAGACUGGAGUGCAGUGGUGCCAUCUUGGCUCACUGCAACCUCCACCUCCGAGGCUCAAGCAAUUCUCUCACCCCAGCCUCCUGAGUAGCUAGGACCACAGGUGCUCACCACCACGCCUGGUUAACUUUUGUGUUUUUUGUAGAGAUGGGGUUUUGCCAUGUUUCCUAUGCUGGUCUGGAACUCAUGAACUCAACAGAUUGUCCCACCUCAGCCUCUCAAAGUGCUGGGAUUACAGAUGGAGUCUUGUUGUCUCCCAGGCUGCUGGAGUGCAAUGGUGCAAUCUCGGCUCACUGCAACCUCUGCCUCCUGGAUUCAAGCGAUUCUCCUGCCUCAGCCUCCCAAGUAGCUGGAAUUACAGCUCAAAGCACCUGUCAUAAAAAUAUUAACUUGUAAUAAAAGUGUUUAGUAACACUAAUAUGUGAUGGCAAUUUCAGGAAAGUCAAUGUUCUGAGCAAGAAGAACAAGGAACAGAAGGUAUAAUGAUAACAGAUGAGAGAGGAAAAAGCAGACUCAAUCAACUCCUACUUUUCCAUCAUUUUUCCGUUACAGAGAAUUAUCCUCAAAUUAGAAGGAGUAGGACCUACAUGGUAAAGAAAAAAUUUACGUGCAAGGCAGAUGAGGAAGUAAGAGAGCAUCCAGCCCCUUCACACAACUUCAUUCUCUGUCUUACCGAAAGAAUGUGAAAUGUGGUGGUAGCUUUACUGGGGACAGGAGAGGUGCCAGAAGUUUGAAGAUGGACUAAUCUCCUUGUUUUCUAAAAGAAGAACCUAUAAGUCUCUGAGCACAUUUUUCUUUGGCAAAAUUCUGGAAUGGAUAAUUAGACAAAUGGUUUGUGAAUCUUUAGAAAAGUGGCAAAAACAAGGCACAGCAUAAAUUCACUAAAAAAUAAGUGGACCUAAACUAAGCAUUCUUUCUUCCUGAUAGGAAUCCUACUUUCCUUGGUCUGACACCUGCAGGGUCAAGUAUGGGCCUUGGAGUCAGCUGAGGCUGAAUUCCAAUUCCAGUUCCACCACUCCAAAAGUGACACUUGGACACCAAAUUCUCUGAGACCCUCCUGUAAUGCAAAUUUAGUGGAGCUACUUUGGGGUUAGCUCUCUCUCCCCCAGGGCCUUCCU
ensembl:lncRNA SMIM14-DT SMIM14 divergent transcript